AAACCAUGCAUCGAGCAUUUUCUAGUUAACUCCUUAAAUCGCUCACAUACUUCAUAUAAUGUUUCAUUCUCAGAUUGCCCAAAGGACGUAAUAUCAUUCCUCAAUUU
rfam:Gossypium raimondii chromosome 8, whole genome shotgun sequence.